AGCUCGACCGGGUCGACGCCGCGGGUAACCACCAAAUAGUCCCGCAUGACGAUGGAGUGACGCGCCUC
rnacentral:sRNA from 1 species